AACCCACUAUUAUAUUAUUAGACGGAAAGACCCCAAGAGCUUUUUUUGUGUAAGAUUUGUUUGGGGUAAAUGUAGAUUAUUCAUUUAUUUUUGGAUCCUUUAUGGAUAAAGGAUAAAGUUACCUUGGGGAUAACUGAGUAAAGGGCAGGGAGAGGUCCUAUUGAUCUGUUUAUUACUACCUCGAUGUUGGCUUGUUGAACCUUUUCGGUGUAGAGGCUGGAAAAGGAAGUCUGUUCGACUUUUAAAUCUUCAUGAGUUGAGUUAAGACCGGUGUAAGCCAGGUUGGUUCUUAUCUAUAAUUGGUUCUAAUUAGUACGAAAGGAUUAUUAGGAUACAGUGUUUCUGUAUGCAUGGGAAUAGGAAAUAUACA
rnacentral:rRNA from 1 species